rnacentral:tRNA from 1 species
GGAGAGAUGCCGGAGCGGCUGAAGGACCGGUCUCGAAAACCGGAGUAGGGGCAACUCUACCGGGGGUUCAAAUCC